rnacentral:rRNA from 1 species
AACGAACGCUGGCGGCAUGCCUAACACAUGCAAGUCGAACGAACCCUUCGGGGUUAGUGGCGCACGGGUGCGUAACACGUGGGAAUCUGCCCUUUGCUUCGGAAUAACAGUUAGAAAUGACUGCUAAUACCGGAUAAUGUCGCAAGACCAAAGAUUUAUCGGCAAAGGAUGAGCCCGCGUAGGAUUAGCUAGUUGGUGGGGUAAAAGCUCACCAAGGCGACGAUCCUUAGCUGGUCUGAGAGGAUGAUCAGCCACACUGGGACUGAGACACGGCCCAGACUCCUACGGGAGGCAGCAGUGGGGAAUAUUGGACAAUGGGCGAAAGCCUGAUCCAGCAAUGCCGCGUGAGUGAUGAAGGCCUUAGGGUUGUAAAGCUCUUUUACCAGGGAUGAUAAUGACAGUACCUGGAGAAUAAGCUCCGGCUAACUCCGUGCCAGCAGCCGCGGUAAU